rnacentral:rRNA from 1 species
GAUGAACGCUGGCGGCGUGCUUAACACAUGCAAGUCGAACGGAGUUAUCAUUUUUGAAGCAAAUAGCUUGCUAGGAGUGGAAAUGUUGAUAACUUAGUGGCGGACGGGUGAGUAACGCGUGGGUAACCUGCCGUAUGCAGGGGGAUAACACUUAGAAAUAGGUGCUAAAACCGCAUAAGCGCACGGAAGCGCAUGCUUUUGUGUGAAAAACUCCGGUGGCAUACGAUGGACCCGCGUCUGAUUAGCCAGUUGGCAGGGUAACGGCCUACCAAAGCGACGAUCAGUAGCCGGCCUGAGAGGGCGGACGGCCACAUUGGGACUGAGACACGGCCCAA